rnacentral:rRNA from 1 species
UGCCUACGGGGGGCAGCAGUGGGGAAUAUUGCACAAUGGGGGGAACCCUGAUGCAGCGACGCCGCGUGAGUGAAGAAGUAUUUUGGUAUGUAAAGCUGUAUCAGCAGGGAAGAUAAUGACGGUACCUGACUAAGAAGCCCCGGCUAACUACGUGCCAGCAGCCGCGGUAAUACGUAGGGGGCAAGCGUUAUCCGGAUUUACUGGGUGUAAAGGGUGCGUAGGUGGCAGGGCAAGUCAGAUGUGAAAGCCCGGGGCCCAACCCCGGUACUGCAUUUGAAACUGUCCGGCUGGAGUGCGGGAGAGGG